GAACUGCAGUGAAAGAAGCUCAAGCAUAAGUUCAAUCAAUCGAUAUGCUGUUUUCUUCAAUGGUGUAACUCGCACUGCACUGUUAGGUUUGUACGUUUCCAGAUACGUUGAAUUAAGGAUUUUUUCAUAAAAAUGCGUCCUGGAGUGAUGAACAGGAAGUUCUAAAGAUGGGGAUUGAUAUCACUCAAAAUGAGUGUGAUUAUCAGUUCUCAAAACAAGGAAUAUACACUGACAAUUUGCCUGUACCUAAAUGCUCAUUGUAGAGGCUUUAGGACAUAUUCUUCAAGAAAUUGAUACGGUAACUUUUCUUUUGAAUCAUACUGGAGAUUAAAACAAUAAUAAGUUGACAGUCACAACAACAAUCCCUUUACAAGGAUGAAUAUCCUUGCUGGUGUAUGACUGUAAUUACUUCUGUCAACAAGUGGUUUAUAUUUAGUUUGAGAUUCUUUACUCUGGUUCAGUAAUUUUUUGUAUAGUAAUCACAUGAUUGUAUGUAAAAGUUACAAAUGGUAGCAGUUUA